GAAUACAAUUAGGAGCUCCUUUCAGGCCAAUACCGAGGGCUGAGUUGCGGCAAGAGCUGCCAUCUCAUGCACGGGGUUACGCUUAAUACUUUGGCAACGUAACAGGUGUUAAGUUUAGCCGAGUGCAUGGUGUGGGAGCAACUCCUUCCGCUUUGCUUUGUCCACCAAUUGGACUGAAGGGAGCUCCUGCUUAACUGAAA
rfam:Citrus clementina cultivar Clemenules unplaced genomic scaffold scaffold_3, whole genome shotgun sequence.